UAGGGAAUAUUGGACAAUGGGUGAGAGCCUGAUCCAGCCAUGCCGCGUGCAGGAAGAAGGCGUUAUGCGUUGUAAACUGCUUUUGCCAGGGGAUAAAAUGACCGUGCGCGGUUAAUUGAAGGUACCUGGUGAAUAAGCCACGGCUAACUACGUGCCAGCAGCCGCGGUAAUACGUAGGUGGCAAGCGUUGUCCGGAUUUAUUGGGUUUAAAGGGUGCGUAGGUGGCCCUGUAAGUCAGUGGUGAAAUAUCUCAGCUUAACUGAGAGGGUGCCAUUGAUACUGCAGGGCUUGAGUACAGAUGAGGUAGGCGGAAUUGACGGUGUAGCGGUGAAAUGCAUAGAUAUCGUCAAGAACACCGAUAGCGAAGGCAGCUUACCAAGCUGUAACUGACACUGAGGCACGAAAGUGUGGGGAUCAAACAGGAUUAGAUACCCCCGUAGUCCCUGAG
rnacentral:rRNA from 1 species